rnacentral:ncRNA from 1 species
AUAGUCGCGGCCGUCGUCGGUUCCGUUUUGGAACCAAGAGGGAAUGCGGUGAGGGCGAAUUGUUUGCCCAAUGCCGUGGCUGCCCCCGCAACUGUGUGCGGUAGUCCUCUCCAUAUGCCACUGAAGAGUCUCUUCGAAGAUCUCUUCGGGAAGGUGGGGAAGGGCGCUGAUCCGCGAGCCAGGAGACCUGCCGGCGACAGGAGAACUGAC